AGAGUUUGAUCCUGGCUCAGAUUGAACGCUGGCGGCAGGCCUAACACAUGCAAGUCGAACGGUAACAGGAAACAGCUUGCUGUUUCGCUGACGAGUGGCGGACGGGUGAGUAAUGUCUGGGAAACUGCCUGAUGGAGGGGGAUAACUACUGGAAACGGUAGCUAAUACCGCAUAACGUCGCAAGACCAAAGAGGGGGACCCUCAGGCCUCUUGCCAUCGGAUGUGCCCAGAUGGGAUUAGCUUGUUGGUGGGGUAACGGCUCACCAAGGCGACGAUCCCUAGCUGGUCUGAGAGGAUGACCAGCCACACUGGAACUGAGACACGGUCCAGACUCCUACGGGAGGCAGCAGUGGGGAAUAUUGCACAAUGGGCGCAAGCCUGAUGCAGCCAUGCCGCGUGUAUGAAGAAGGCCUUCGGGUUGUAAAGUACUUUCAGCGGGGAGGAAGGGAGUAAAGUUAAUACCUUUGCUCAUUGACGUUACCCGCAGAAGAAGCACCGGCUAACUCCGUGCCAGCAGCCGCGGUAAUACGGAGGGUGCAAGCGUUAAUCGGAAUUACUGGGCGUAAAGCGCACGCAGGCGGUUUGUUAAGUCAGAUGUGAAAUCCCCGGGCUCAACCUGGGAACUGCAUCUGAUACUGGCAAGCUUGAGUCUCGUAGAGGGGGGUAGAAUUCCAGGUGUAGCGGUGAAAUGCGUAGAGAUCUGGAGGAAUACCGGUGGCGAAGGCGGCCCCCUGGACGAAGACUGACGCUCAGGUGCGAAAGCGUGGGGAGCAAACAGGAUUAGAUACCCUGGUAGUCCACGCCGUAAACGAUGUCGACUUGGAGGUUGUGCCCUUGAGGCGUGGCUUCCGGAGCUAACGCGUUAAGUCGACCGCCUGGGGAGUACGGCCGCAAGGUUAAAACUCAAAUGAAUUGACGGGGGCCCGCACAAGCGGUGGAGCAUGUGGUUUAAUUCGAUGCAACGCGAAGAACCUUACCUGGUCUUGACAUCCACGGAAGUUUUCAGAGAUGAGAAUGUGCCUUCGGGAACCGUGAGACAGGUGCUGCAUGGCUGUCGUCAGCUCGUGUUGUGAAAUGUUGGGUUAAGUCCCGCAACGAGCGCAACCC
rnacentral:rRNA from 1 species